rnacentral:rRNA from 1 species
CAAUAAGCGGAGGAAAAGAAACCAACAGGGAUUGCCCCAGUAACGGCGAGUGAAGCGGCAACAGCUCAAAUUUGAAAUCUGGCCCCCCCCCGCGGGGGCCCGAGUUGUACUUUGGAGAGGAUGCUUUGGGCGCGGCGCCGGCCGAGUUCCCUGGAACGGGACGCCAGAGAGGGUGAGAGCCCCGUACGGCCGGACGCCCAGCCCGUGCAAAGCUCCUUCGACGAGUCGAGUAGUUUGGGAAUGCUGCUCAAAACGGGAGGUAAAUUUCUUCUAAAGCUAAAUACCGGCCAGAGACCGAUAGCGCACAAGUAGAGUGAUCGAAAGAUGAAAAGCACUUUGAAAAGAGGGUUAAACAGCACGUGAAAUUGUUGAAAGGGAAGCGCCUGGGGCCAGACGUGCGCCCCGCGGACCACCCGGCGCCCCGCGCGCCGGGGCACGCCGCGGGUGCGCAGGCCAGCAUCGGCUCCCCGCCAGGGGGACAAGGGCCGCGGGAACGUAGCUCCUCCGGGAGCGUUAUAGCCCGCGGCGCCAUGCCCCUGGGGGGGCCGAGG